ensembl:snRNA U6 U6 spliceosomal RNA
GUGCUCCCUUCAGCAGCACAUAUACUAAAAUUGGAAUGGCACAGAGAAGAUUAGCAUGGCCCCUGCACAAGGAUGAAAUGCAAUUAGUGAAGCGAUCCAUAUUUUU